rnacentral:rRNA from 1 species
UGGGGAAUUUUGGACAAUGGGGGAAACCCUGAUCCAGCCAUCCCGCGUGAGUGAAGAAGGCCUUCGGGUUGUAAAGCUCUUUCGAAAGUGAAGAAAACUUAUUUCGUAAUAUGUUAUAAGUAUGACGGUAACUUUAGAAGAAGCACCGGCUAACUACGUGCCAGCAGCCGCGGUAAUACGUAGGGUGCGAGCGUUAAUCGGAAUUACUGGGCGUAAAGCGUGCGCAGGCGGUUUUGUAAGUCAGAUGUGAAAUCCCCGAGCUUAACUUGGGAACUGCGUUUGAAACUACAAGACUAGAGUGUGUCAGAGGGGGGUAGAAUUCCACGUGUAGCAGUGAAAUGCGUAGAGAUGUGGAGGAAUACCAAUGGCGAAGGCAGCCCCCUGGGAUAACACUGACGCUCAUGCACGAAAGCGUGGGGAGCGAACAGG